rnacentral:lncRNA from 1 species
CGCUGAAGGUGGCGAUAGCUGCUGGCAGUGCUGCAAAGGCAAUAUUCAAGCCAGCUCUCCUCUGCCGUCCUUGGGAGGGUUCUCUUUGACAGGUUCUGGCUGCCCAUGAGGCCCCCCGAAGGAGCAUUUCCUCAGUAAGUACCUGCCUUGGGUGUGUGCAUGAGACUAUGUGUAUUAGGCGUACAUGUAUCCAUGCACACAUGCCUUAUGUCUUUGCUCCCUGGCCUUCCUGUCCUUCCCUCCAAGGCAUGGUCUCCAGAGGUUACUCACACCUCCCCUUUCUCUGAGUUGUGUUAGACAGUGUCCCCAGGGAAAAUAUCCCAGUUCCCUAGUCACAGCCUUGUUCCUCCAACCUUGGCUGAUCCAUGUCUUCUUCCUUUCUGUCUUCCCUCUAGCAACAAACAAUUGUGAGUAUUCUCUGUAUUAGAUUUGAGGGGCUCUUAGUUGCUUUGGGGUUAACCCAAAUCCAGGUGGGCUUGAGGGGGUGGUGGAUGCUGAUCAGGAGCCUCGGGACAGCAACUCUGCCUUGGCUGGCCUGUGGAUUGGUGCUGGUGGGAAGAAGGGAACUGACUCAAGCCAGGGUGCACAUUGGGGUAUCCAAGGGCUUACCUUCACCAUUUCCCUUCUUCCAGCCUCCGUCUGCUAAGUAUGGUGGGCGGCAUACAGUGACUAUGAUUCCAGGGGAUGGCAUCGGCC